rnacentral:rRNA from 1 species
UACAGAGGGUGCAAGCGUUGUCCGGAAUCACUGGGCGUAAAGCGCGCGUAGGCGGCCAGAUAAGUCCGGUGUGAAAGUCACAGGCUCAACCUGUGAAUGCCGCUGGAAACUGUCUGGCUAGAGUCCGGAAGGGGCGAGUGGAAUUCCUGGUGUAGCGGUGAAAUGCGCAGAUAUCAGGAGGAACACCAAUGGCGAAGGCAGCUCGCUGGAACGGUACUGACGCUGAGGCGCGAAAGCGUGGGGAGCGAACAGG